AGCAGCAGCCGCGCAAAUUAUCCAAUCCCGACACGGGGAGAUAGUGACAAUAAAUACUGAUACAGGGCUCUUUUGGGUCUUGUAAUUGGAAUGAGUACAAUUUAAACCUCUUAACGAGGAACAAUUGGAGGGCAAGUCUGGUAAACAUUCAGCUUUCAUUCUGCUGACGCCAGCAAUAGUCGGGCACCUUUAGGUGUUAUACCGGCUAGUCGAUGUACCUACUGAUUUGAUGGGGAGGUACCGGCAAGACAACCUGGAUCGGGGAAAGCUAAGGUAUCUAUAUCUGAUGCUAUGCUAAUCCCGAGCAGAGCUGCCAUAGAGCGAUCUAUGGUCUGCCUGUGUAGAGCACGCAAAGGUGUCGGCUAGCUCACGUAGCUAGCUUAAGGGACGUGCCAUUCCCAUCCGAAAGGGUGGCUGCCAGCAAUAGCGCCCAUCACGCGAAGGCUGGCAGGUUCGAGUAUAUAAAGAGGGAAUCGUGUCUUAUAUAUUCGAAGCGUAUCAAGGCCAGCAGCCGCGGUAAUUCCAGCUCCAAUAGCGUAUAUUAAAGUUGUUGCAGUUAAAAAGCUCGUAGUUGAAACUUGGGUCUGGCUGGCAGGUCCGCCUCACCGCGUGUACUUGUCCGGCUGGGCCUUCCUUCUGGAGAACCUCAUGCCCUUCACUGGGCGUGUUGGGGACCAGGACUUUUACUUUGAAAAAAUUAGAGUGUUCAAAGCAGGCCUUUGCUCGAAUACGUUAGCAUGGAAUAAUAAAAUAGGACGUGCGGUCCUAUUUUGUUGGUUUCUAGGACCGCCGUAAUGAUUAAUAGGGACAGUCGGGGGCAUCAGUAUUCAAUUGUCAGAGGUGAAAUUCUUGGAUUUAUUGAAGACUAACUACUGCGAAAGCAUUUGCCAAGGAUGUUUUCAUUAAUCAGUGAACGAAAGUUAGGGGAUCGAAGACGAUCAGAUACCGUCGUAGUCUUAACCUGUAAACUAUGCCGACUAGGGAUCGGGCGAUGUUCUUUUUCUGACUCGCUCU
rnacentral:rRNA from 1 species